rnacentral:lncRNA from 1 species
GCUCCUGGAAAUUCCAUGGGAAAAUCCUGGAGAACCAGGAGAGCUCUGAGAAAUUCCAUGGGAAAAUCCUGGAGCACCAGGAAAUUCCAUGGGAAAAUCCUGGAGAACCAGGAAAUUCCAUGGGAAAAUCCUGGAGAGCUCCAAGAAAUUCCAUGGGAUAAUCCUGGAGUGCCAGGAAAUUCCAUGGGAAAAAGCUGGAGAAACGGGAAAUUUCAUGGGAAAAUCCUGGAGCACCAGGAGAGCUCCAGGAAAUUCUCUGGGAAAACCUGAAGCCCCUGGAGAUCUCCAGAGUUCUUGGGAAAAACCUGGAGCAUCUGGAGAUGUCCAGGAAAUUCCAUAGGGAAAAAAAAUCAGGAGCACCAGGAGAUCUCCAGAAAAUUCCCCUGGAAAAAAAUUCCAGGAAAUUCCAUGGGAAACGUCUGGAGAACCUGGAGAUCUCCACGAAUUUCACUGGGAAAACCUGGAGGUGUCCAUGAAAUUCCAUGGGAAAACCUGGAACAACAGGAAAUUCCAUAGGAAAAAAAACCAGGAGCUCCAGGAGGUCUCCAGAAUCACCAGGAAAGUUCUGGAGCUCCAGGAAAUCUCCAGGAAAUUCCUUGGGAAAAAAUUCCAGGAAAUUCCGUGGGAAACAUCUGGAGAACCUGGAGAUCUCCAGGAAAUUCCUUGGGAAAAAAUUCCAGGAAAUUCCAUGGGAAACAUCUGGAGAACCUGGAGAUCUCCAGGAAAUUCCAUGGGAAAUGUCUGGAGAACUUGGAGAUCUCCAGGAAAUUCCUUGGGAAAAAAUUCCAGGAAAUUCCGUGGGAAAUAUCUGGAGAACCUGGAGGUCUCCAGGAAAUUCCUAGGAAAAACCCGGAGCACCUGGGAAAUUCCCAGCCGUUUUUCCAAGCCAUUCCCAAGGAAUCCCAGCAGCUCCAGGAAAUCCAUUUGGAGCUCUUUGUCUUUCUGGGAUUUUUGGGAAAAAUCCCCGGAAAAAUUCCUGGAAAAUCCCGGAGCGGAACCAAACCUCGGCUCCUCCAUCCUCAAAUCCCAAAGCCGCAUUCCCAGAAUUUUUCCCGCUUUUUAUUCCGAGUUUUCCAGCUCCGGAAUGGGAGGAGGAGGAGCCGGAUGGGGAAAUUCCAGAAUUCCCGGAAUUCCCUGGGAAUUCCCAAGGGAUGAGCGGGAAUUUCCGGAGGUGGCACCGACCUGGGAUCGACGUCGUCCGAGGGCAGCCGGAGAAAAGCUCUGGAAAAGGAAAAUCCGGGAUCAGCUCCUUCCCGGGAAUUCCUCGGGAUUUGUUCCCAAAGGAGGAGCCGGCCCAGGGGGAGAGGGGAGAAAAUCCUGGGAAUUCCGGCGGGAACGGGGAGAAUUCCAGGAUUUCUAUGGAAUUCCAGAGGGUUUGGAAUGGGUUGGGAAGGAAUUGGUGGAUGGGAGGGGUUGGGAGGGAAUUCCCGGGAAUGUGGGGCUGAUCCUGGAAAUCAGGGAGGGGUUGGAUGGGGCUGGGAGAAACCUGGGAUUAUUUGGAUUAUUGGAAUUAUUUGGAUUAUUUGGAUUAUUGGGAUUAUUGGGAUUAUUUGGAUUAUUGGGAUUAUUUGGGUUAUUGGGAUUUUGGGAUUUGGAUUGGGAUUAUUUAGAUUAUUGGAAUUACUUGAAUUACUGGGAUUACUGGGAUUAUUUGGAUUAUUUGGAUCGGGAUUCGGAAUUGGAUUAUUUGGAUU